AACGAACGCUGGCGGCAGGCCUAACACAUGCAAGUCGAACGUGAAGCCACCUUCGGGUGGUGGAAAGUGGCAGACGGGUGAGUAACGCGUGGGAACCUACCUGGUAGUACGGAAUAACUCAGAGAAAUUUGGGCUAAUACCGUAUACGCCCCUAGGGGGAAAGAUUUAUCGCUAUCAGAUGGGCCCGCGUUGGAUUAGCUAGUUGGUGGGUAACUGCCUACCAAGGCUACGAUCCAUAGCUGGUCUGAGAGGAUGAUCAGCCACACUGGGACUGAGACACGGCCCAGACUCCUACGGGAGGCAGCAGUGGGGAAUAUUGGACAAUGGGCGCAAGCCUGAUCCAGCCAUGCCGCGUGAGUGAAGAAGGCCCUAGGGUUGUAAAGCUCUUUCACCGGUGAAGAUAAUGACGGUAACCGGAGAAGAAGCCCCGGCUAACUUCGUG
rnacentral:rRNA from 1 species